CCUACGGGAGGCAGCAGUGAGGAAUAUUGGUCAAUGGCCGGAAGGCUGAACCAGCCAUGCCGCGUGAAGGUCAGUGCCCUAUGGGCGUUAAACUUCUUUUGUGCGGGAGCAAUAAUGGUCACGUGUGGCCAGACGAGAGUACCGUACGAAUAAGCAUCGGCUAACUCCGUGCCAGCAGCCGCGGUAAUACGGGGGAUGCAAGCGUUAUCCGGAUUUAUUGGGUUUAAAGGGUGCGUAGGCUGUGAGGUAAGUCAGCGGUGAAAUGCCCCCGCUCAACGGGGUGAAGUGGCAUUGGUACUGCCGUGCUGGAAUGCGGAUGCCGUGGGAGGAAUGUGUGGUGUAGCGGUGAAAUGCAUAGAUAUCACACAGAACACCGAUUGCGAAGGCAUCUCACGAAUCCGCGAUUGACGCUGAUGCACGAAAGCGUGGGUAUCAAACAGGAGUAGAUACACCUGUAGU
rnacentral:rRNA from 1 species